AUGGGAAAGUGGGUGGAGAUUAUCGACCAAGGUGCGAGGAUUGUUGCGAGAUCCUAUUCCAACUGUCCUCAGACAGGUCGGAAGUUUUAUCAUCCUCCGCCUCAUUCUGAUAUCGGCGAUAAUCACUCUCAUGGAGGAGGAGCCGCCGUGAACGGCGGCGGCGCUGGGAAAUCUGGGUUUGGUUACGGCGGAAGUAGCUUUGAUGUUAUUCUUUAUUCUGUUUGA